rnacentral:rRNA from 1 species
CCUACGGGAGUGCAGCAGUGGGGAAUAUUGGACAAUGGGCGAAAGCCUGAUCCAGCCAUGCCGCGUGUGUGAAGAAGGCCUUCGGGUUGUAAAGCACUUUCAGUGGGGAAGAAAGCCUUGGGGCUAAUACCCUCGAGGAAGGACAUCACCCACAGAAGAAGCACCGGCUAACUCCGUGUCAGCAGCCGCGGUAAUACGGAGGGUGCGAGCGUUAAUCGGAAUUACUGGGCGUAAAGCGCGCGUAGGCGGUCUGAUAAGCCGGUUGUGAAAGCCCCGGGCUCAACCUGGGAACGGCAUCCGGAACUGUCAGGCUAGAGUGCAGGAGAGGAAGGUAGAAUUCCCGGUGUAGCGGUGAAAUGCGUAGAGAUCGGGAGGAAUACCAGUGGCGAAGGCGGCCUUCUGGACUGACACUGACGCUGAGGUGCGAAAGCGUGGGUAGCAAACAGGAUUAGAUACCCUGGUAGUC